rfam:Triticum urartu cultivar G1812 contig1026489, whole genome shotgun sequence.
GUAGUACUCCCUCCGUUCUGAAUUACUUGUCUUAGAUUUAUCUAGAUACGAAGGUAUCUAGCACUAAAAUGAGUCUAGAUACAUCCGUAUCUAGACAAAUUCAAGAUAAAUAAUUCGGAACGGAGGGAGUACGUC